rnacentral:rRNA from 1 species
GAUCCUAGCUCAGAUUGAACGCUGGCGGCGUGCUUAACACAUGCAAGUCGUACGCGAAAGGGACUUCGGUCCCGAGUAAAGUGGCGCACGGGUGAGUAACACGUGGAUGAUCUGCCUCUAUGAUGGGGAUAACAGUUGGAAACGACUGCUAAUACCGAAUACGCUCACGAUGAACGUUGUGAGGAAAGGUGGCCUCUGCUUGCAAGCUAUCGCAUAGAGAUGAGUCCGCG